GCGAGUGUGGUUCAAUGGUAGAACACGACCUUCCCAAGGUUGAAACAGGGGUUCGAUUCCCCUCACUCGCU
rnacentral:tRNA from 1 species